rnacentral:hammerhead_ribozyme from 1 species
GUCAGUCUGACGAGUCCCGAAUAGGACGAAACGCGCGUCAAACUGGAU